AGGCAGUCCAUGAGGGCUCUCAGAAGUUACAUCCCAGUUGUUUCACGUUGUCUCUUCCUGGAGGUGAAAGGAAACAGAUGGUGCUUCCGGGUUAAGCGGAGGCACCUCUGACCUCCAGCCCCGGGAGUCAAAACGCCAUCUGUUGAUGGGGCCCCGCCAAAGCUGACAUAGACAGGUCCAGCCUCCAGGUGCCCCCACACCGUUUUCUUGCAUUAUGAAGCUGAGCGGCUUCUUUCUACUCUCUGUGAACAUCCUCCUUUGCCUCUGAAUGACCCAGCCUGGAGUCUUGAGGAGUGCAGCUGCACGGAAACCGGGAUAUUGCCCAGAGUUUGAUCUUGACUGCCCUUUCACUCUCUUACCUAUGCGCUGGCGUGAUAAGAGUUGCAGGGGGUCAAGAAGUGUUGCUACUACAACUGUCGGCAUCAGUGUAUGGAGCCCUGGUGGACUUUGGAUUGAGGCAAAACGCAGGCUGACAGUGAUGAAGCUGAUGUUCGUAACACUGCAGAAAAAGUGCUGAUAGAUGACAUGGUGAAAAAGUGUGAUGGGCUUAUUGAAGGACUGAAGCAGCCUGUAUUCAUACCAAAACAAGAAAUCAUGUAAGUUUAAAAAUCAACAAGAAAUUUCUAAGACAAAAAACAUUGUUAAUGAGAGAGAUGACUCUGGAGAAAACAUUUUUAAAAGUCAUCCAGCAGAAUGCCUCCUCAUCUCUAGAGGAUCCACUUCCUGGUCCCUCAAUUGCUUGUGA
rnacentral:lncRNA from 10 species